GACGAACGCUGGCGGCGUUCUUAACACAUGCAAGUCGAACGGAAAGGCCCUGCUUUUGUGGGGCGCUCGAGUGGCGAACGGGUGAGUAACACGUGAGUAACCUGCCCUUGACUUUGGGAUAACUUCAGGAAACUGGGGCUAAUACCGGAUAGGAGCUCCUGCUGCAUGGUGGGGGUUGGAAAGUUUCGGCGGUUGGGGAUGGACUCGCGGCUUAUCAGCUUGUUGGUGUGGUAGUGGCUUACCAAGGCUUUGACGGGUAGCCGGCCUGAGAGGGUGACCGGCCACAUUGGGACUGAGAUACGGCCCAGACUCCUACGGGAGGCAGCAGUGGGGAGUAUUGCACAAUGGGCGGAAGCCUGAUGCAGCAACGCCGCGUGCGGGAUGACGGCCUUCGGGUUGUAAACCGCUUUCGCCUGUGACGAAGCGUGAGUGACGGUAAUGGGUAAAGAAGCACCGGCUAACUACGUG
rnacentral:rRNA from 1 species